rnacentral:misc_RNA from 1 species
AUUUUUACAGUCUUUGAAGAAAGCAAGGCACAUGAUUUAGACCACACUGCUAAAAGAAGCAGGGCUAGGAGGAAAAGGUAUUUCAAUGGUACCUUCCAACAUCAAAAUCACCUUCCUCAUUGAAGGACGAAGUGAUGGCUCUUCUUGAAUGCACCACAGUCCAAUGCAAACCAUUCUUUGCAAGGCUUGUUCAUCCACUUCUUCUGCCACUUCUUCUGCACUAAAUAGCUUAAGCAGCUCAUUGGCCUUAAAACAGCUGUAAACCCAUUCUGCAAGAAUAGCUUCAUCAUCUGGAACAUCCAUACUCACACUCCUCCUGCAACAUAUGAUCUCCAAGAACAUAAUCCCAAAGCUGUAGACAUCUGCUUUCACAGUAAUGGGUUGGUUCUUAUACCAUUCUGGGGAAACAUAUCCCCUAGUUCCCCUGACCCCUGUAAGUGUCCUGCUUUGGUUUGGCAUCAACAGCUUUGCCAACCCAAAGUCUGAAAUUCUUGCACGCUGAUGUUCGUCCAUCAAUAUAUUAUUAGGAUUUAUGUCACAAUGGAUGA